CUCGAUCAGUUCGGCUACAGAGGCCCGGACACAGAGCCCGUGCGCUCGAACGCUCGUCGAAAAAAGAAAAACUCGCGGCAGCACCCAUCUCUAUUCCCGAACUCGCCGGCGACGAGUGACCUAUGGCGGACGGCGGCGAGAUGGACGAGGAGGCGAUGAUGCGCGCCUUCUUCCCGACCUCAUUUGGCAAGGCGCCCACCCGCCCCAGCGCCGCCUCCCACUCCUCCACCCUCCGCAAGCCCCAAAACCCUAGCUCCAACCCCUCCACCUCUGCCGCCGCCGAGGAGGACGAUGUCGGUGGCGCCGUUGUCGGACCCCCUAGGCCGCCCAAGGAAUUGGCUCCUAUCCAGGAGGAUGACGAGGAGGGUGGCGGUCUGAUUGGGCCGCCUCGGCCGCCACAGCGGCCGUCUGCGCACGCGGAGGUGGAGGACGAGGACGGCAGCAUGGUUGGGCCGCCUCGGCCGCCACCGUCGAAGGAGGGGGAUGAGGAUGACGAGGACGACGACGACGAGGAUGACGACGACGAUGAUAUGGAUGAUGAUGGGGAUGAUUUCGGCAGGAUUCCUCUCAGCAACGAAAUUGUUCUGCGGGGGCACACCAAGGUUGUCUCAGCCCUUGCUGUUGACCCUACAGGAUCCCGAGUGCUCUCUGGCAGCUAUGAUUAUACAAUACGGAUGUAUGACUUCCAAGGCAUGAACUCGAAGCUACAGUCAUUUAGGCAAUUAGAACCUUGUGAGGGGCAUCAAGUUCGUAGCCUAAGCUGGAGUCCAACAUCGGACCGAUUCUUAUGUGUCACGGGUUCAGCUCAGGCCAAGAUAUAUGACCGAGACGGGCUUUCACUUGGUGAGUUUGUUAAGGGUGAUAUGUAUAUCCGUGAUCUGAAGAAUACAAAGGGUCACAUUUCUGGACUAACUGGUGGUGAAUGGAAUCCCAAGUCAAAAGAAACUAUAUUGACCUCAUCGGAAGAUGGAUCAUUACGUCUCUGGGAUGUUUCAGACUUUAGCAGUCAAAAGCAGGUCAUCAAACCAAAGUUAAAAAGACCAAUGCGAAUUCCUGUUACUUCAUGUGCAUGGGAUCAUGAAGGCAAGCGGAUUGUUGCUGGCGUGGGGGAUGGUUCCAUUCAGCUCUGGACCAUAAAGACUGGAUGGGGAAGCAGACCAGAUAUUCAUGUUGAAAAAGCACAUACAGAAGAUAUCACUGGGGUUAAGUUUUCUACUGAUGGGCAGAUUCUUCUGUCAAGAAGUAUGGAUAGUACUCUAAAGAUAUGGGAUUUGAGGAAAAUGAAGACUCCUUUGAAAGUGUUCGGCGGUCUGCCUAAUAACUAUGCGGAGACAAAUGCUUCAUUUAGUUCAGACGAGCAACUUAUUUUUACAGGAACCUCUGUUGAGAAAGAUGGCAGAAAUGGAGGCCUACUUUGCUUCUUUGAUAGAAGGAAACUAGAGCUUGUAUCAAGGGUGGGAAUUUCACCACAUUACAGCGUGAUAAGGUCACUCUGGCAUCCAAGGAUUAAUCAGGUGUUCGCAACAGUUGGGGACAAGAAGGAAGGUGGGACUCAUAUCUUGUAUGAUCCUUCUGUUAGUCAGAGGGGAGCUCUUGUAUGUGUUGGACGAGCACCAAGGAAAAAAUCUGUUGAUGAUUAUGAGGUGCAACCUUUAAUACACAACCCACAUGCACUGCCUCUAUUCAGAGAUCAACCAAGCCGUAAACGCCAAAGAGAGAAGAUGAUGAAAGACCCCCUCAAAUCGCACAAACCAGAAGCGCCUGUUAGUGGUCCAGGGUUUGGUGGUAAAAUUGGCACAACAAAAGGCAGCUUGCUGACACAGUAUCUCAUGAAGGAAGGUGGUUUAAUUAAGGAGACCUGGAUGGAUGAAGAUCCAAGAGAGGCAAUUUUGAAAUAUGCUGAUGCUGCGAAGAAUGACCCGAAGUUUAUUGCGCCAGCAUAUGCUCAAACUCAGCCAGAAACCGUCUUCGCAGAGUCUGAUUCCGACGGCGAAGAGAAAAAAUAACAUAUGGAUUGACCGUUAAGUUUCUUGCAUGAGUCCUGCAACAUGUACUUUUACUGGGGACAAACUAUAGAAUGUGAAUUAGCAACCAUCGGGAGCUCGGUUUUUUCUGAAGAUACCCAGGGAAAAGUUGUCGCACAGGAAAACUGUUACAAUAAGACGGGUCCAUCAAGCUCCUUUGUCAAGUGAAUGAAGAUUAACAAACCAGAUUCAUGUUACAACAGGAUGAGGUUUUCGCUGUACCUUCAGUUUACCAGCCAUUAUCCAUACUCUGCAGAGUCUGCACGCUUGAUCCAGUGUAUCGCCAUUAGCCCACGAGAAAGCUGUACUGUUUUUUCCUUCCGUGUUGUUGUCGUCUUUGUGAUGAUUGAUGUGACGUGUAGAGUAGACAAGGAAGACCGAUUUGCAUUUUCAAAAUGUCAUUCUACCUGAUCCGCGUUUUACAGUGCGGUUCGUAUCCAGUUGCUUUUUCUACGCAUUUGCCCCUUUCCCC